GUGGCUAUAGUUCAGUUGGUAGAACACCUGAUUGUGGUUCAGGACGUCGCCGGUUCAAGUCCGGUUAGCCACCCCA
rnacentral:tRNA from 1 species